UGUUUUUCUCCGGCGGAAUAAAACUCCUUUUCCCCGAUUCCACAACGUACGACGGCGGUGUUGACCUGAAGCGUCCUCCUCUUCUCAUUUUUCAUCCUGUUCUCCUAAUGGAAGCAAUAAAUGGAUUCACUCGCUUCCAUCUUUGAAAUAAAUGUUCUCCAAUCCUACACAAAACCUUUCGCUGUCUUCCUUCUCUUCGAUCUCCAUUGUAACGUUUUUCUAUUAAAGUGACUUCAUCCCGUUCAAUGCUCAAUCUUGCAAUUGAAGACCCACUACUCUAUCUUUAAUUGGUCUGGUCGCCUUCACCAACAGAUCGUCGGAAGAAUGCUUUGUCACUGGCCUGCUCGGAAUGUCAAAAAAGGAGGCCAACUCAUGGGCAUCGACUUCCUACUUAUUGAUGAGAAGAUCAAAGAUGGUAUGAAGGAUGAGGAGGAAGACUCAGACUGUUUAAGGAACUUCGUCUUAAAACAAUGGUAGGGGCUAACCAGCCAGCAUACAAAGACAUCUUCAAUUGCGUUUAACGAAGUCUAAGCAGAAUCGUUGAUGUGGUGCAGGUAUCCUUUUGGUGUCUUUGCAAGUGAGGACCAGUGGAGGACUUUGUUUGUUUCCAUGGUGUUUCUUCUACUCUCAUCUGAUUCGACGACGUCCAAGUUAAGACCGGUGAGAUGGUUUGAAGAAUGAAAAAGACUUGGACUUCUUAAGGUUUUGUUUCAAUCAUCAACAAUUGAAAAAAUAUAAGGUCCCCUUUCAUCCGAUGGAAAAAAACUCUUCUUGAUCUCCCAUUGGAAGUUGUCCUAGAAUUGUGGACACCACCAUCAUCAACACUCAUGCAGCUAUCAGAGAUGGCUUGAAGCAUGUAGAACACACUCACACACACACACACACACACACACACACACACUCUUCAGUCUCCACUCUUCACCAAAUAGAAUAAAAGUUUAAGAGAGAGCGACUCUCUCCCCCUCUCUCUCUCUUGGUAGUUGAUGAUUUUGAAAAAUGAAGAAGACUCAGAACAGAGGAAUGAUGAUGAUGACCCAAACAACAACAACGACAUCGAUGGUGGAUAUGGUGCAAGUGAGGAUUGGAGGAGGACGUUGUUUGUUUUACUCUCAUCUGAUUUGACGACAAGUAAAGACUGGGGAGGUGGUUCGGAAGAACAACGUUUCAUAAGAAAAAAACUGGUCGGCAUGCGUGCUCACAGGUUAACAACAUGAAACUGUUUCAAUGGUGAUUGAUUAUUUUCGACUCUAUUCAAUAUGUCUUCCUCCUUGUCCACUUCAAAUUCUCCAUCCAGAGGUGUUACUAGCUUCUUCAGAUGGAGAUUUAAGGCUCCCUUUGAUCCGAUGGAAAAAUUCUCUUCUUGAUCUAUCUUUAAACAAUGGUAAUGGCUAACCAGCCAGCAAACAGAGACAUCUUCAAUUGCUUUAACGAAAGAAGUGUCUAAGCAGGUGUUGUUUUCGUGUCUUUGCAGGUGACGAUCAGUGGAGGACUGUGUUUGUUCUACUCUCAUCUGAUUCGACGACCAGGAAUUUCAUCUUUAAACAAUGGCAAGGGAUUACCAACCAGCAUACGGAGACAUCUUCAAUUGCUUUAGCGAAAGAAGUGUCAAAAGCAGGUGUCGUUUUGAUGUCUUGGCAAGUGAGGAUCAGUGGAUGACUUUGUUUGUUUCCAUGGUGUUUCUUCUACUCUCAUCUGAUUUGACGACAAGUAAAGAUUGGGGAGGUUGAUUGGAAGAAUAACGUUUCAUAAGAAAAAAAUUGGUCGGCAUGCGUACUGACAGGUCAACAACAUGAAACUAUUUUUAUGAUGUUGCUAGCUUCUCCUGAUGGAGUUAUAAGAUCAUAGAUGGUUUGAAGAAUGAUGAGGAAGACUCAGACUGUUUAAGGAAUUUCAUCUCUAAACAAUGGGAAGGGAUAACCAGAGACAUAUUCAAUUGCUUUAACAAAGAGAAUCGUCGAUAUGGUGCAGGUGUCGUUUUAGUGUCUUUGCAAGUGAGGAUCAGUUGAGGAGUUUGUUUGAUUCCAUGGUGUUUCUUCUGCUCUCAUCUGAUAUGACGACCAAGUAAAGAUCGGGGAGAUGGUUUGGAAGAAUAAUGUUUCAUAACAAAAACUUGGCCGGCGUGCGUGCUCACAGUUUAACACCAUGAAACUGAUUCUAUUGUGAUUGGUGAUCUUUGAUUCGAUACAAUACGUCUUUCUCUUUGUCCACAAGUGAAUCUAAUCUCCUUUAUCCCUAAUUUUAUUCUUUGCUACACAACUUUAGAUAAGAGACUGAAUUCUAAUCUCCUUCCACCAUAUCUCCUUUAUCUCUGAUAUGAUACCAGACUUUUAAGACUUUUAGAAAAAAUAAAAGCAUUGACAGCCAUU